UGCGGGAUAGUUUAACGGCAGAACAGUGGACUCUGAAUCCAUCAGUCUUGGUUCGAAUCCAGGUCCCGCAG
rnacentral:tRNA from 1 species